GACGAACGCUGGCGGCGUGCCUAAUACAUGCAAGUAGGACGCAGUUGGGAACGGGUGAGUAACGCGUAGGUAACUGCCUAGUAGAGGGGGAUAACUAUUGGAAACGAUAGCUAAUACCGCAUACUAGUAGAUGGAGCUGCGUUGUAUUAGCUAGUAGGUAGGGUAAUGGCCUACCUAGGCGGCGAUACCUAGCCGACCUGGGAGGGUGAUCGGCCACCCUGGGACUGAGACACGGCCCAGACUCCUACCGGAGGCAGCCGUAGGGAAUCUUCGGCAAUGGGGGGAACCCUUACCGAGCAACGCCGCGUUAGUUAAGAAGGUUUUCGGAUCGUAAAGCUCUGUUGUUAAGGAAGCGGUACUUACCCAGAAAGGGACGGCUAACUACGUGCCAGCCGCCGCGGUAAUAC
rnacentral:rRNA from 1 species